rnacentral:rRNA from 1 species
GUUAGGAAUAUUCGUCAAUGGAGGAAACUCUGAACGAGCAAUGCCGCGUGAAGGAUGAAGGUCCUAUGGAUUGUAAACUUCUGUUGUUAGGGAAGAACGACCUAAGUAGGAAAUGACUUAGGAGUGACGGUACCUUUCAAGAAAGCUCCGGCUAACUACGUGCCAGCAGCCGCGGUAAUACGUAGGGAGCGAGCGUUAUCCGGAUUUAUUGGGUGUAAAGGGUGCGUAGGCGGCUUUAUAGGUCUGUGGUUUAAGCCCGAAGCUUAACUUCGGUUCGCCACAGAAACCGUUUAGCUUGAGUAUGGUAGAGGCAAGUGGAAUUUCUAGUGUAGCGGUUAAAUGCGUAGAUAUUAGAAGGAACACCAGUGGCGAAGGCGACUUGCUGGGCCAUCACUGACGCUGAGGCACGAAAGCGUGGGGAGCAAAUAGGAUUAGAAACCCUUGUAGUCC